GAUAUUUUAAAUAGUAAAAAUAUUUCACAUUUAGUUAAAAUUGACUAAAAUAGCUAAAACUAAGUAAACUAAAACGUAAUAAAAAUAUAAUAAAAUAAUAAUCUAAAAUAAAAACUAUAUAGACAUAAAAAAAACUAAUAAAAAUUACAAAACUAAACUAAUUAUAAUUAUAACGUCAUGUAUUUUAUAAUUAUAUUUUUUAUAAUUAUAAAAUACAUUUUUAAAUGACCAAAAUUACAAGAAUUACAAACUUUAAUAACAUUACUAGUACAUUUUUGAAAAGCAUUUAGCAUUUUAUGAGGUUUAUUGGCAUGACAAGGUGCAGUGCAUUCCUGAAGCACAAGAACAACGAAUGAAAAUCAUACAUAAAUAAUAAAAUAAUAAUAAAUAUAAAAUAAUGUCAUAGAAAAAUGAAUAAAAAAUGACAAAACCACAAAAAAAUGAAAUUACUAAAAAAGUUUCAAAUGUACAAAAGAAAAACUGUAAUCUUCACAAUGUGGAAUGUGUUUCUUUGUGUCAGAUAUAUAUUUCAUCACGGUUCAUCUAACCAUGAUGUACCACUGAGCUGCAUCGUCAGGAGGAGAUCCAGCUGCGGGAGCGUGUGCAGCUGCAGUGCAAACAGGCCGAGAGGACGGUGGAGGAUCUGCGCAUGGAGCUGCAGACGCUGGGACAGUCCAGAGACGAGCUCUCCAAACAGCUCAAGCUGGCUCAGGAGAAGGUCAUCGAUCUGGAGGGAGAUCUGGAGGAGCUGCAGGAGAACGAGCAGCGAUGGGCGUCCAAACACAAGAGAGCUGUGGAUCAGUCGGAGCAGCUGCAGAUGAAGCUCAUCCAGGAGAAAGAUCUCAACGAUCAGCUGGAGUGUGAGAAGGCCAUCCUGGAGAGACAGCUGCGGGAUCUGCGCACUGAGAUGGAGGAGCUCCAGAAUAACAGAGUGGAGGUGGAUUCGAUCACCAGAGCCGAGAUUAAAGCCAAAGAACUGGAGAACGCACUAAGAGCAGAGGAGAGGAAUAAAGUGGUGAUGAGCAACACCAUCAGCAAACUGGAGAAGAAGAUCCACGAGCUGUCGGAGCAGAUGGAGGAGGAGCACAAGAUCUCCACCGAACAGAGAGAGCUGGUGCGACAAACACACAUACACAUCCACACCAGCAGAGGGAGAGACACACACACACACACACACACACAGGUGCACAUCCACACCAGCAGAGGGAGAGACACACACAGUCACACAGGCACACAUCCACACCAGCAGAGGGAGAGACACACACAGUCACACACGCACACACACACACACACACACACACACACACACACACAGGUACACAUCCACACCAGUAGAGGGAGACGCACACAAAUCAUAUCAUACCACACAUCAUACUCACAGAGAGUGAAAAGCUGAACAAUAAUUAGGAACCUCAUUUACUCUCAUUCAGUUAGUGCACAUAGAAACAGCUCAUUCUGAAAUAUAGCUCAUUUAAAGCUGGAAAUUAAUUUAAAUUAAUAUUUUCAAUCCCAUAUUUCAGACUUUUAUACUCACAUAAAUUUUUCUAUAUUUUUUAGCAGUGUUUACCGAGGCAAGUGCUGUUCUCAUAGUUAGCAUUGAUCAUUUGAACAAACUCCCAGAACUUAGUUUUGAACUUCAGUGUGAAGCUAUGGAAGCUUGUUUCCACCUCAGAAUAAAACUAUUAAAGUUAACUGUGACUUUUUAGCUCAUAAUUCUGACUUUUUUGAGGUAGUAAUAUAUAUUUGCACAAAUGUUUUUUUAUAAAUAUAACAAUAAAUAAAUUAAAUUUCUUAAAUUAUAAAUACCUAUAUAUUCAUAUAAAU
rnacentral:lncRNA from 1 species